rnacentral:rRNA from 1 species
UACGGGGGGGGCAAGCGUUGUUCGGAAUUACUGGGCGUAAAGGGCGCGUAGGCGGCCUGCUAAGUCGGACGUGAAAUCCCUCGGCUCAACCGGGGAACUGCGUCCGAUACUGGCGAGGCUUGAAUCCGGGAGAGGGAUGUGGAAUUCCAGGUGUAGCGGUGAAAUGCGCAGAUAUCAGGAGGAACACCGGUGGCGAAGGCGGUUCUCUGGGCCUUACCUGACGCUGAGGAGCGAAAGCGUGGGGAGCAAACAGG